UCUUAAAACUCAUGACAAAGCUGUUGGGAAAGACUUUGCCUCUACCAUCUUCUUCUACCUGGCCCAUGAUGAUGUAGUUUAAACCUAGAAAGGACAGAAUGAGAUUACAGAUCAGAAAUCUGGGACGUCAUUUGAGAUGUAAAUAUUUUCUAGAUACACACAGAAGCAUUCAGGCAAGGUGGACUUAAUGAGUGGUAAGACCUGGCUUUGGACAAUUUAAUUGAAUCUGCAUAUUUUUAUGCCUUAGAAGGGUUGGGGAUUUGCAAGGUCUUGGGCUAGAAGGAAUGGUAUCACAGGGAUAUAAACAGAAAAGUUCAGAUAUUAUGUAAUGGCUCUUAAAUAAUUAAUUGAGAUUUAGGAUGAGAAACAGAAGUGUGUGGUUUGGAGCCAGAAGUCUGCCUAAAAGGAGAGAGUUUUUUUCACCAAGGACAUUAUUAUGUCUCCCAAUGUGUAGUUUUCAGAUAACUAAAGGCAAAAGCUAAUUUCUGAUCAUGGUUUUUCACUUUGUUACUGCCCACUUUGAGUUAAUAUGCUUAAGCACUGGUACUAUCUGGAAUGAUAUCAGGGUUUUUUUGAUACUUAUUAAAUUAUUUUGACUGUUUCCUGCUCUGGCUCCAUUUAUGUUCUCGUGUUUUACCUGUUUUUAGGCAAAGCUAAAAACAGUUUUAUUUUUUACUUAGUUACUUCAAUUAAAAAUGCUCUCAGUAUUUCUUUUAACACCUUUACCACAAUUAACUGGAAUUUAUGUUUGGUGAUCUCUGUAUAAUAUUAUUUAAAGUAGCUUUUAGCAGUAUUGGCUGUUUGCAGAUACAAAGUGGGCUUAAUACUAUGAGUAUUUCUGUAAAGCUGUAAAUAAUUCAGGAGAUACACAACAGUGGAACUUGAUUUCUGCCAUUUCCUGUGAGAUACCACUCUUCUAGGUUUAGCAGGCUGUUGUCUUUCCCUUCUGAACAACUGUGUAUAAAAACUAGCUCCAAAAUGCAUAUCUGUAAACACAAAAUCUAUCUCAGCUUCAUCCGAGAGAUGAAGCUGAAAGUGACAUUUUAUCUUGCAUCACGUGGCUUUUAAUUAAAAAAGUUUUCCAAACUCCUGUGAUCUACGUGAGCCUAAUCCUUUUGCAGUAAAAGAGAAAAAUGCAAUAAACCCCUGAAUUACUGGUUAUUUAUUUUAAUACUAACUGCUGAUUAUAGAAAGAAAAAAACAUGGUGAUUUUAUUGUUUUUUUCUGGUCAUAUUUCAAAUAGUAGUUUUUACAACUGUUAUCUUUUAUAAACACACAAAGCAGUUAUUACUGUGUACUUACCUCUCCUGAUGAGAGGACACUGCUUACACACAACAAGAAUCUUGGCACUCAUAUUCUUGCCAGCUUGUUGGAUUGCUAAAUUUCCCUCCUUAUAUACAUUAAUGAUGGAUAUUGUUGCAUGCAGACUGCCAGCCCGUGUUACUGCUGUGAUUACAGUUCCAGUUAUUACUAGAAGAAAAGACAUUUGAUAUAUUUGGUACAUUUUUAUUAUUUUGAGACAUAAAUUUUGAGGCAUCAUAAAAAUUUAUUAAUUAUAUUAGUGCCUAAUAAGGAAACAAGCAGUACUGGGAACACUUGCUGAAAAUAUGAGUAUCACUGCUAAUAACUAACUCACUACUGUCAAAUUUUGGUGGCACCAAAUAUGAAAUUGUUGUACAAUGUGUCAGUCUUGUGCAAGCCCAGUUCUCUGAUUUCAAUUAAAGAGUACAAUUUAAUACUA